UGGUGCGAUUGAUGUUCCGGUGCGUCAUUUGCGACGAAGAUUACAUGAGCAAGGAAGGACUGUGGAAUCAUCUUGACCUGCAUGAGAUUACAGAUGAAAGUAAGGAACUGCACUAUCAGGAAAUAAAAGCAAAACACAAGUUGCACCAAUGCGAGCUCUGCAACGACCAACGUGCGUAUUUGAAGAGUCACUACUGGAAGCACGUUCAAGACGUUCACGAUGGGUUCUUCCUGCGGUGUUCUGAGUGUGGGGAAAACUUUCGAUCUGAAAAGCUUAAGAAUGAUCAUACCCAGAGCCAUUGUAAGUUUAGGGAUCAAACGGUAACAUCGGAAUUGGCUGAUCGAAGGGUCAGUCGCGUAAUCUUUCCUUGUGUAGUUGAAAAAACAACUUCUGAUGCUGAACAAUCGCGAAGAGAGCAGGGCAACAAAUCAAAUGAAGCAGUUGGUGUAAAUUCUCGACUGGAUGAGAAUUCACCUGUUGAUUUGAACGAUGUUACCGAAACAAAGAUGCUUUCUAUUGAUACUACUGAUAAUGAUUUGAUGCAACCUGUGCUGCCAUUCAUGUGUGAUAUUUGCGGUAAUACAUUUUCUUCUCACUUUAAGGUCCAGUAUCAUAAGAAAGCGAUACACGGACGGAUAUAUAAAUGUCCUCACUGUCGGAAAUUAUUUAAUAUGGAAGAUUAUCACGCACACUUAUUAUUAUGUGAAAAAAAGAAAAGAUAUCCAUGUGAAUCAUGUCGUACACAAUUCUCAAAGCCAUUUUAUCUUGCUAAACAUAUGAGACUGGUUCAUCAAGUUACUAGAACUUUGAACAACAAGAAGCAAGAUCAACCUCACACGGAGCAAAUUAAUAAACCAACAGAAACAAUUACUAGUUCUGGUAAACAAACAGCAGAUACUGGUGUGAUUGAGCACUCAGCACCUGCUAAUUUUAAUGCAGUUCAGGAUACAGAUUGUAAUGUAGUUGAGAAGAGCAUCGCAGAGACGAGCUUGCAGCUACUUACUGAGAAUUCAACAAGAAGAUCAUCCGCGAUAAAAUGUGACCACUGUGACAAAAAGUAUAACAGUCGUAAAAUUUUAGGUGCUCACUUCAGAAAACAUCAUAAGCCGAUAAAGUGUAGCAUCUGUGGAAUCACCAUUUAUGGUGCGCAGAAAGUCUUAUAUCAUAAGUUGACUCACGAGGAGCUACCAUACAAUUGUGCUAUAUGCAAGAAAAAAUUUCGCUCGAAAUUGGAUUUUGAGGAACAUGUUAGCAAUUGUGUUCCUGAACAGAUUGUCUCUCCUAAUUUUACUUUGAAAGACAGGAGUGACCCAAAAGUAGCGAAGGAGAAACCUUCGGGUAAGGAUUGUCCCCAAUGUGGAAAAAAUGUGCGUGAUGCUGUUGCCCUAAAACGUCAUAUCCAACACAGCCAUGUGCCAACAACAUGUAAUAUCUGUGGAAUUAGUUUCCCCAGUUUUUUGCGGGUGCGAUAUCAUAAGGCUGCAAUUCACAAAAUAGCGAAGCACAAAUGUCCUCGUUGUUCGAAGACUUUUCUCACGGAAAAACGACUUAAGAUGCAUAUAUCCAUAUGUGUUGACCGGAAUUGUGAGUUUUGUCUCAAAAUUUUCAAACAUCGAUGCUCUGUCAGUCGCCAUCAGAAUGGAGCUUGCCGUGUCAAACGACGUUUGGAGAAGAAACAGGAGAAGCAGCGGCUUCUAAUGGAGAGAAUUUCACUCUUCCGUAGUUUACAUUCAAACUUAAACAGUAUGCAUCAGAAAACAAAUCGCCAAGAUAAGAGCAAUUUGAGGAAUGUCCCAGAACAAUCACUGGUAAAUCCAUCCAUCAUAGUUGAUAAAGCCAGCCUUAACAAAAAGCCAAAUGCUAAAGAAGUAAUUUGUUCAAGUGGACAGAGCAAUGCAAUUGUUCCCGAAGAAAAUGAUUAUCUAGUUAGCUCUCGAGACAGUCAAUCAUUUGCUGAUGAUACGGAUAGUCAUAUGAUCAACAAGGAAUCCAGUGUGCUCUAUGUUGCUUCUAUGAAAGCUAAAGGUGAUAGUUCAGAGAAGCCAUGUAUUGAAAAGCUAUCAGCGCACCAAUAUCGGUGCCCCAUCUGUGAUAUUAUUUGGCCUAGCUAUCGCAAAGCAAGGUAUCAUGCGCUGACGAGGCACAUUACAUCGAAGCUCCAAUGUUCCUAUUGUUUGAAGCAAUUUCAUUCUAAAUCAAUGUUAAAAAUACAUGCGAUAAGUUGUGUACAAACGAAAUAUCCAUGUGAUUUGUGUGGUAAAAAGUAUAAAAACGCGACCCGUGUCGAGGUGCAUAAGAUUCUAGUGCAUGGAAUUAACGAUAACAAGCCUUUUAAAUGGAAAAAUCGCGAUGCGAAUAGUAAAGGCACUGAUGACCAUAACAAAAACAGUGUUGGAAUGAAGCAUUCUAAGCAACCGUCAGCCGAUAGCAGAGGAGAUCCAUCGAGUGGAUCAUCCUGUGCACAGUGUUCUUACUGUGUGAAAUAUUUUCCCAGUGAAGAUUUAUUAUCUUUUCAUAUUAAAAAAUGUCAUGUUCCAUGUGCAUGUAAUAUUUGUGGAGCUAUUAUUGCUAGUGUCGAUAAACUAGGGUAUCAUAAGGCCACGACGCAUAGGAGUGCGAAACACAAUUGUCCUUAUUGUCCGCUUAAAUUUUAUCAAACCUCGCCUUAUCGGUUACAUAUAGUCAAAUGUAAGAAUCGGAAUUUUUCCUGUGAUCUAUGUGGUAGAAAGUUCCAAAGUUCUAAAACUUUUAAGUUGCAUAACAAAGUGCAUCAUCAAGAUAAGGAAGUGUUGAAGAAAGGUCAACAAUGUCGUAUAACUAAAACCGAAGAACGCAAGCAACAGCAAACCGAGAAGAUUGCUUUCACAAAGGAAAUUACAGAACAGGAAACAAAAUCAAAUCUAGUGGUCAUUACUGACUGUUCGAUUUGUGGAGAAAAUUUCGCAGACCAGCACUUAGUUUCCCGACACAUCGAAACAACUCAUCGGAUGACUAUUUGCUUGAUUUGUGGAAUGACGUUUCCCAGUGCUGAUGAGCUAAUGAAUCAUAAGCUCAAUUGUUCUCAGCAUCUAGCAAAGCACAUAGAUUCUCAAUUCGAUACAGAAAAAAAAUCACUACUCCAAGGUGAGAAUUUAUCCAGCGUGGCAAAAGAAAUUCAAACUGAUUCCUUGCCACAAGAAGAAAAUAUUGAAAUCAAAAUGGAAAUUCAAGUAGAGGACAUAAUGCUGCAGACAGAGCAAUACCCAGUUUCAAGCAAUGAUCGAGGAAAAUCAUUCACCACGACUUCGGCCAGCGUUAGUGAACUUGAAGUUGGCAAGCGUUCCGUUUCGCAUCGUUCCAUUUCGCUUUACUCCAUUCCAUGUGCUAAAUGACGGACGGUCUGACGAUUCACGACUGCGGUUUGGAUGGAAAAUUUGUGUGCUGCU